rnacentral:lncRNA from 1 species
GGACGUCCUUGGCGGGGCUUUGGUGGCUCUGGGGACAUCUCAGGGGGGUUUUGGUGGCUCUGGGGAUAUCCUGAUGUCCCCCCGGUGUCCCCCCGGUGUCCCCCCGGUGUCCCCCCGGUGUCCCCAGGUGCGGGAGCGGCUGCGGGUGGCCCUGGAGCGCGUGGCCGUCCUCGAGGAGGAGCUGGAGGUGUCCAACCAGGAGGUGGGGACAGCAGGGGACAGCAGGGGACAGCCGGGGACAUCAGGGGACACCGGGGGACAGCUGGGGACAGCAGGGGACAGCAGGGGACAGCAGGGGACAGCAGGGUGGUGACACCGGGGUGGGGACACGGGGGUGGCGCCAGGGGUGACGCCAAUCGUGGUCCUUCGGAGGGUGACAUUUGUGCCCUGUCCUUGUCCCUGGGGGUGGCACUGUGACUGUCCCUGUCCCUGUCCCUGUCCCUGUCCCUGUCCCUGGGGGUGGCACUGUGACUGUCCCUGUCCCUGUCCCUGUCCCUGUUCCCUGUUCCCUGUUCCCUGUCCCUGUCCCUGUCCCUGUCCCCGUCCCCAUCCCUGUCCCUGUCCCUGUGACUGUCCCUGUCCCUGUCCCUGUCCCUGUCACUGUCACUGUCACUGUCCCCAUCCCUGUCCCUGUCCCUGUCUCUGUCCCUGUCCCUGUCACUGUCACUGUCCCCUGUCACUGUCCCCGUCCCUGUCCCUGUCCCUGUCCCCUCCCUGUCACUGUCCCUGUCACUGUCCCCUGUCACUGUCCCUGUCACUGUCCCCUGUCACUGUCCCUGUCCCUGUCCCUGUCCCCAUCCCUGUCCCCUGUCCCUGUCCCUGUCCCUGUCCCUGUCCCUGUCCCUGUCCCUGUCCCUGUCCCCAUCCCUGUCCCUGUCCCUGUCCCCUCCCUGUCACUGUCCCUGUCACUGUCCCUGUCACUGUCCCUGUCCCUGUCCCUGUCCUGUCCCUGUCCCUGUCCCUGUCCCUGUCUCUGUCCCUGUCCCCUGUCACUGUCCCUGUCCCUGUCACCAUCCCUGUGUCACCGUUGCUGUCCCCGCAGUCUCUCUCCCUCCGGGAGCAGCUCUCCCUCUCCCUGUCCCUGUCCCUGUCACUGUCCCUGUGUCCCUGUCACUGUGUCACCGUUGCUGUCCCUGUGUCACUGUCACUGUGUCACAGUUGCUGUCCCUGUCCCUGUCACUCUCACUGUGUCACCCUCUCUGUCCCCGCAGUCUCUCUCCCUCCGGGAGCAGCUCUCCCUCUCCCUGUCCCUGUCACUGUCACUGUCCCUGUGUCCCUGUCA